AUCCCGCCCCCUGACCCUCACUGUCCCUGCUCUCUGGGCCCCUCCCACCCUCCCUCUCCCCUUUCUCUCAGCAGUAUCUGCUGGUACCACCUGGAAGCAGCAUCUCAGCCCCUAUCCUGCCCUCUGCCACCCACCCCUGUGGUCUUCUCCCAGCAGGUGCAGCCACAAGGUCACUUGGGCUUCUGACCCCAUGGCAGAACUCAGAACCAUGCUGGGUCUCCUUGCUAUCCUGUGGGUCCUCCUGUUUCCCGGCAGACUGGCAGGGAUUAGACUGGAGCAACCAGCCUUGGUCGUGGCACGCAGUGGCACCUGGGUCACCCUGUCCUGCAGAGCAAAUACCAAAGUCAGCUACAUCCACUGGUACCAGCACCAGGAGGGCAACGCUCCCCAGAGGCUCCUUAUAGUGGCACUAUUUUCGUCUUACGUGCAAACAGAUUCGGUUCUGAAAGGGGACAAGGUCACUGCCAGGAGGGGCUCAGAUGGCAAGAGCUGUAACCUGUUGAUGUCGAAGCUGGAGAAGAGCGACGAGGGCGUGUACUACUGCGCUGCCUGGGAAGCUCACAGCCCUGCAUGCCUUCCUGGUCCCAGCACAAAAAGGUCCACUGCACAGAACCCUGGAGACCCAGGGAGCUGUCCUGUCUGGAGGGACUUCUCUGAAGAUCGUCCAGCACGGCGUUUCUGAAGCAUCUGGAGCAGAAUCUGUGCUGCUCAAUGCAGGAGCCACGAGCCACUAGCCACACGUGGCUCCUGAGCGCGUGAAAUGUAGCUAGUCCACUAGUCCAAGCUGAGAUGGGCUCUCUGUGUAACAUACAAACCAUUAUUUUGAAGACUCAAAAAGAAGACAGACUAUCUCUUUAAUAGUUUCUAUAUUGACUGCAUGUUGAAAUAAUAUUUAUGAUAUCUUGAACUGAGUAAAAAUAGCUUUACUUGUUCUUUUAACCUUUCUUUGAUGCAACAGAUAGACCAUUUUUAAUUUGUGUCUCAAACUGAUGACUUACUUUUAUUUCUAUUGGACAGUGCUGUUAUAGACCGGUGAUUUAAGAUUCUGACCAUGUCCCCUGAAUAAUGUGCAAAUAAAAUAUUGUGUAAAUGGUGUCAAGUUUGAAGGACUCUCUGGAGAUUUACCACAAAAUGGUUAUAAGCUGAGACUGAAA